AAGUCGUAACAAGGUCUCCGUUGGUGAACCAGCGGAGGGAUCAUUACAGAGUUGCAAAACUCCCACCCUUUGUGAACGAACUUGCUAGUUGCCUCGGCGGGGAGCUCUUCAGGGAGCCAACCGCCGGUGGACUACCAAACUCUUUUAAUUAUUAUUCUGAUUACUUAUUCAAUAAGUUAAAACUUUCAACAACGGAUCUCUUGGUUCUG
rnacentral:misc_RNA from 1 species